UACGUAGGGUGCGAGCGUUAAUCGGAAUUACUGGGCGUAAAGUGUGCGCAGGCGGCCGCGCAAGUCGAGUGUGAAAGCCCCGGGCUUAACUUGGGAAUUGCGCUCGAAACUACGUGGCUGGAGUGUGGCAGAGGAAGGUGGAAUUCCAGGUGUAGCGGUGAAAUGCGUAGAGAUCUGGAGGAACACCGAUGGCGAAGGCAGGUCUCUGGGCUGACACUGACGCUCAUGCACGAAAGCGUGGGGAGCAAACAGG
rnacentral:rRNA from 1 species